AUACGGAGGGUGCAAGCGUUAAUCGGAAUUACUGGGCGUAAAGCGUGCGCAGGUGGCUAGGUCAGUCGGAUGUGAAAGCCCUGGGCUUAACCUGGGAAUUGCAUUCGAUACUGCCUAGCUAGAGUAUGGGAGAGGGAAGUGGAAUUCUCGGUGUAGCGGUGAAAUGCGUAGAUAUCGGGAGGAACACCAGUGGCGAAGGCGGCUUCCUGGCCCAAUUCUGACACUCAUGUACGAAAGCGUGGGGAGCAAACAGGAUUAGAAACCCCAGUAGUCC
rnacentral:rRNA from 1 species